rnacentral:rRNA from 1 species
GAUGAACGCUAGCGGCAGGCCUAAUACAUGCAAGUCGGACGGGAUCCAUCGGCGAGCUUGCUCGAAGAUGGUGAGAGUGGCGCACGGGUGCGUAACGCGUGAGCAACCUACCUCUAUCAGGGGGAUAGCCUCUCGAAAGAGAGAUUAACACCGCAUAACAUCAACAGUUCGCAUGUUCAGUUGAUUAAAUAUUUAUAGGAUAGAGAUGGGCUCGCGUGACAUUAGCUAGUUGGUAGGGUAACGGCUUACCAAGGCGACGAUGUCUAGGGGCUCUGAGAGGAGAAUCCCCCACACUGGUACUGAGACAGAGACCAGACUCCUACGGGAGGCAGCAGUAAGGAAUAUUGGUCAAUGGGCGGAAGCCUGAACCAGCCAUGCCGCGUGCAGGAUGACUGCCCUAUGGGUUGUAAACUGCUUUUGUCCAGGAAUAAACCCAGAUACGUGUAUCUGGCUGAAUGUACUGGAAGAAUAAGGAUCGGCUAACUCCGUGCCAGCAGCAGCCGCCGUAA